GUAAAUAUAGUUUAAUACAAAACACUAACUGUGGAUUUAGAAUUAGGGAUUUGCCCCCCUUUUAUACC
rnacentral:tRNA from 1 species